rnacentral:rRNA from 1 species
AGCGAACGCUGGCGGCGUGCCUAACACAUGCAAGUCGAACGUGAAAAGGGAAACCUGAGUCCAGUGGCGUACGGGUGAGUAACGCGUAGGUAAUCUACCCCAGAAUCUGGAAUAACCUGCCGAAAGGCGGGCUAAUACUGGAUAGAGCGAGGGAACUCGUAAGAGAGUUUUUCGGGAAAGGGAGCCCGCAAGGGCCUUCGUUCUGGGAUGAGCCUGCGUCUCAUUAGCUAGUUGGUAAGGUAACGGCUUACCAAGGCGAUGAUGAGUAGCUGGUCUGAGAGGAUGAUCAGCCUCACUGGAACUGAAACACGGUCCAGACUCCUACGGGAGGCAGCAGUGGGGAAUCUUGCGCAAUGGACGAAAGUCUGACGCAGCCACGCCGCGUGAGUGAAGAAGGCCUUCGGGUUGUAAAGCUCUGUCGGAUGGGACGAACAUCUUCAUAGUGAAUAGCUAUGAGGACUGACGGUACCAUCAAAGGAAGCACCGGCUAACUCCGUG